rnacentral:rRNA from 1 species
GACAGAGGGUGCAAACGUUGCUCGGAAUUACUGGGCGUAAAGGGCGCGUAGGCGGUUCGUUAAGUCCUGUGUGAAAUCCCCCGGCUCAACUGGGGAACUGCACAGGAAACUAGCGGGCUUGAGUUCGGGAGAGGGAAGCGGAAUUCCGGGUGUAGCGGUGAAAUGCGUAGAUAUCCGGAGGAACACCGGUGGCGAAGGCGGCUUCCUGGACCGACACUGACGCUGAGGCGCGAAAGCUAGGGGAGCAAACGGG